rnacentral:rRNA from 1 species
UGGGGAAUUUUGGACAAUGGGCGCAAGCCUGAUCCAGCCAUGCCGCGUGCGGGAAGAAGGCCUUCGGGUUGUAAACCGCUUUUGUCAGGGAAGAAAUCUUCUGAGUUAAUACCUCGGGAGGAUGACGGUACCUGAAGAAUAAGCACCGGCUAACUACGUGCCAGCAGCCGCGGUAAUACGUAGGGUGCAAGCGUUAAUCGGAAUUACUGGGCGUAAAGCGUGCGCAGGCGGUUUUGUAAGACAGAGGUGAAAUCCCCGGGCUCAACCUGGGAACUGCCUUUGUGACUGCAAGGCUUGAGUGCGGCAGAGGGGGAUGGAAUUCCGCGUGUAGCAGUGAAAUGCGUGGAUAUGCGGAGGAACACCGAUGGCGAAGGCAAUCCCCUGGGCCUGCACUGACGCUCAUGCACGAAAGCGUGGGGAGCAAACAGGAUUAGAUACCCUGGUAGUCCACGCCCCUAAAAGCGAUGUCAACUGGUUGUUGGGAAGGUUCCUUCUCAGUAACGUAGCUAACGCGUGAAGUUGGACCGCCUGGGGAGUACGCCGCAAGGUUGAAA